UACAGAGGGGGCAAGCGUUGUUCGGAAUUACUGGGCGUAAAGGGCGCGUAGGCGGCCUGCUAAGUCGAACGUGAAAUCCCCGAGCUCAACUCGGGAACUGCGUCCGAUACUGACAGGCUUGAAUCCGGGAGAGGGAUGCGGAAUUCCAGGUGUAGCGGUGAAAUGCGUAGAUAUCUGGAGGAACACCGGUGGCGAAGGCGGCAUCCUGGACCGGUAUUGACGCUGAGGAGCGAAAGCCAGGGGAGCAAACGGG
rnacentral:rRNA from 1 species